rnacentral:lncRNA from 1 species
CAGCCAGUAACCAUGUGAGUGAGCUUGUAAGUGGAUUCCUUAAUGCCAGUCAAGGCUAGAGAUGAAUAUAGCAUCAGCUCAUGAGAGACCUUGAGCCAUAAAAAUUUAGGCCAAGAAUAGAAAACAAGGCAUUGGGAAGAACAUCAUGAGCAAAGGAAUGAAGUGGGACUGAAAUGCUAUGUUGUUGUAUUCUGGCUGGAAACACAGAUAUUCCUGAAACAGUGGAGAAAUGGCAAAGCUGAACUCCUGAGCACUGAAGCAAACAGAGGCUUAAAAGAUGAUACAAGAAGGCAGAACUGCCUCACAUCUGAGUCAGAAUCCUGGGCUUGA